UAGGGAAUCUUCCGCAAUGGGCGAAAGCCUGACGGAGCAACGCCGCGUGAGUGAUGAAGGUCUUCGGAUCGUAAAACUCUGUUAUUAGGGAAGAACAAAUGUGUAAGUAACUAUGCACGUCUUGACGGUACCUAAUCAGAAAGCCACGGCUAACUACGUGCGAGCAGCCGCGGUAAUACGUAGGUGGCAAGCGUUAUCCGGAAUUAUUGGGCGUAAAGCGCGCGUAGGCGGUUUUUUAAGUCUGAUGUGAAAGCCCACGGCUCAACCGUGGAGGGUCAUUGGAAACUGGCAAACUUGAGUGCAGAAGAGGAAAGUGGAAUUCCAUGUGUAGCGGUGAAAUGCGCAGAGAUAUGGAGGAACACCAGUGGCGAAGGCGACUUUCUGGUCUGUAACUGACGCUGAUGUGCGAAAGCGUGGGGAUCAAACAGG
rnacentral:rRNA from 1 species